rnacentral:tRNA from 1 species
GAGGCCUUGGCUUAAUUAAAGCGUUUGAGUUGCAUUCAGAAGAUGUAUGGUUUAUACAGGCCUUC